rnacentral:rRNA from 1 species
UACAGAGGUCUCGAGCGUUAGGCGGAAUCACUGGGCUUAAAGCGUGUGUAGGUGGAUCGUUAAGUACCUUGUGAAAUCCCACGGCUUAACCGUGGAACUGCUUGGUAUACUGGCGGUCUUGAGCCAGCUAGGGGCUACCGGAACAAAUGGUGGAGCGGUGAAAUGCGUAGAUAUUAGUUGGAACGCCAAUGGUGAAAACAGGUAGCUGGGGCUGUGCUGACGCUGAGACACGAAAGCCAGGGGAGCAAACGGG